rnacentral:rRNA from 1 species
UACGUAGGUGACCAGCGUUGUCCGGAUUUACUGGGCGUAAAGAGCGCGCAGGCGGUCGUUCAAGUCGCGUGUGAAAGCCCCCGGCUCAACUGGGGAGGGUCGUCGGAUACUGCGGAACUGGAGGACGGUAGAGGCGUGUGGAAUUCCGGGUGUAGUGGUGAAAUGCGUAGAGAUCCGGAGGAACACCAGUGGCGAAGGCGACACGCUGGGCCGUACCUGACACUGAUGCGCGACAGCAUGGGGAGCAAACAGG